CACUAUGGUCGUAUACCUGUUUGUCAAUGGCCAGUCUCAUCCGAUCUAUGAAGCGGGGUUGGAAUUGGUUAGUACUUGGAUGGGAGACCACUGGGAAUACCAGGAUCCAGAGUGG
rnacentral:rRNA from 1 species